CUGGUCCUACGGGGGGCAGCAGUGGGGGAUAUUGCACAAUGGGGGAGACCCUGAUGCAGCGACGCCGCGUGGGCGAAGAAGUAUUUCGGUAUGUAAAGCCCUAUCAGCAGGGAAGAAGAAAUGACGGUACCUGAGUAAGAAGCACCGGCUAAAUACGUGCCAGCAGCCGCGGUAAUACGUAUGGUGCAAGCGUUAUCCGGAUUUACUGGGUGUAAAGGGAGCGCAGGCGGCACGGCAAGCCUGAUGUGAAAGCCCGCGGCCCAACCGCGGGACUGCAUUGGGAACUGCGUCGCUGGAGUACGGGG
rnacentral:rRNA from 1 species